UUUUUUUUUCUCUUGCAACCUUCAAAGAAGAAUUAGGAUAUUGUUACUGUUUAAGAUUAAGAUCUUUGUUUUUUCUUAGAAUGAUUAUUUUGUAUCAGUUCAUGGAGUGGAAGAGCACAGUCAAGCCCUUUCUUUUGACUUAAAGACAACACCUUAGUGAGAUACUCUGCAGCGAGAGGAACAUGAUUGUGGGAAACACAACACUUGCACGUAGUUGGUAGAAUCUUUCUGUAUCUAACCUUGAAAAACUGCUUAGAAAUCUCGAGAUGAGUUGUAUUUUUGCAGGAAAUGGGAAUCCAUGUGGGAGCUCAUGAGGAAGGCAACAGCAGAAAUAUUAGAAACUCUCAGGUCUCAGGUCAAAAACCGCUGCACAUUGCUCCUAUAAUUAACCAGAGCUGUUAUUUCAGUAUAUCGAAGCAUUUAUAUAUAUAUAUAUUGGCACCUGUUUACUACUGUCUUGUCCGUAACAAAUCUCUAACGUCUUCAUGUGAAUCAUGUGUGGGGUAGAGACGUCGAGAAAGACUCUUUCGUCCCCAGCAACGUGAGGGUGGCUGCGGGCAUGUUCAUGGAGAAGACUCAUGAGAACCAACGUACGAACUUUUGGUUCUCUUUGGCCUGCAAACAAUUUUUUCUUGUCCAUUUAUCACGUUCAUGUUCACAUGGGUGGGUACCUCUUUAACUUUAGUUGAUUGUUAGAGCGUCAUCAAUUACUGAAUGUUGACGACACUACUGAUCAUUGGAGUUUUCGAUUUUCGAUAUUAUCUGCAGCCUCUUUGCUAUUUUUAAUUCCAUCCAUUGCCGUUAAUUAUACAUCAAUAUUAUUAACUUCGUUGAUUGAUCAUAACCCGGUUAUUUUUUUGGAUCACUACGAUAUCUAUUUGACCUAUCUGGACUAAGAAUGAGUUUAAAAAAAUUAACUCAAAGUUAAGUUGAUUGAUCCAAUCAUAACCCAGUUAUUUUUUUUUAAUUUUUUUAAAAUAUUAAUCCCAAAUAGUUGCGUCAAAUCAUCUUCAAAUUAGGUUUAAUAGCUAUAUUAGGUUUCAUAACUUUUUUAAUUCACUUCAUGGUGGGGUUCUUUUAGUGUGUUCUACGCACACAACUUGAUAAACUCCUGGUUCAAUGGACAAUGAUGGUUAAUGGCAGAUUUUGGUGAAAGACAUGGAAACUAUAUAUCCUCUUAUGGUAUUACUUGGAGAGAGUAAUGAUCUUCAUAUCAGUGUGCUUGUUGUAUUCGAAACUGAACAAGUGUUCGAAGCUGAAUAAGAAGACGCUGAGAAAAGUUGAAUGGCUUGCGGUACCAUUUUGUCAGCCUUUCUUUUGUUUUCUAGUUCUUUUCCUUUCUAUCCAUUGGUGCUGCUCUAUGUAAAUACUUUAUCUCUUUUCAUGGCGGCCAUCCGCCAGCAUGCUUUUUAUAAAACCUUCUAUGAUUAUUACUAUGAAAAGAAAAACUAUAUUAUAUAUUGUUGUUCCAAUGUCAUUUGCUAUCCAGCUACUUAUCUUCUUCUUCUUUUUUCCUUUUCGCUCCUAGCUAGGUAUGCUCUCAUAACUGCCUGCCUGCCUGCCUGCAGGUUACUUGGUCAAUGAGCUAGUGACAUUUUAUUGGGAAAAUAAAAUUUAUGGGUUGCUGUAGAGCUAGUGGGAAUCAAACAAGAUGGAUCUUUUCGGGUGACAGAAUGAACUUCAAUGUAAUGAAUGGUAUUAACUAUUGAUUUUUUAGAAAUUGUAAGCGUGUGUGUGUGUGUGUGUGUGUGUGUGUGUGUGUGUGUGUAUGACCUCGUAUCUUGAACUGCUACAAUGGAAGGAAAAACCACUCUUAGGCCGAACUGAGAAAGCGGUCUGGAAGUCCAGUCCAGGGGACAAGAUCCAAACGUUUGGUAGCCUAGAACUUGUCAAAACAGUACGUAACCGAUUGAUUUACAUGUUGGAAAAAAAGAAAAGAAAAAAACAGAGGGUCAUGAUGUAUAACUGUGCUAAAACUCCUUCGUUUUCUCUGUAUAUAUCCAUGUGAUGGAUAAAUUAUGUCCUCCAAAGUCAACUUCCUUACUUGGCUGAGUGGAUCUACAAGCAUGAUGGAGCAUGUCCUGGGUUUGAAUCAUUUUGUCAUUGUCCUAAUUUUUUUCCAUCUAAUGUUCAUUUUUUUUCCCAUUAGAACAAUGCGAUGGGGGAGAUUUUAUGAAAAAAUUGAAAAGAGGAUCCAAUUGAGAAAUGUUUGAAACAUUUGAAAUUGAUAAAAUAUUUUAUAAAACAACCGACACUACCAUAAUUCUUAAAAAUACUGAGGGAAUCUUCCAUCGGUAAUAAAUUUACUGAUGGGCUCAUGGAUAAAAAUGCUACAUCAGUAAAAUUCUUGUCGGUAAUUUUUAGAUUGUCGGUGAAUCUAUUAAUAAUAAAAUUAUCAACAGAUUUACUGACGGGAAAAGUUCACAAAAAAAAAAUCACCUGCUUUAUUCCAUCAGUAUUUCUAUCGGGAAUGUUGUCAUAUAAUUGACAGAAAUACUUAUACAAUUCUAUUGGAGAUAAAACAUUAGCACAAUGAUAUUUGCAAUAAUUCUUUUCUAACUCUCUGAAAUAUACUGACGUCGAACUAAUCCAUCGGUAUUACCAUUAGAAAUUAUUUAAAAAUAAUUUUUUAAAAAAACUGAGUUGCUUGAAAAAAAAAAUCAAUUCAAACAAAUUUACAACAAAUAAAUAAUACAAAAAAAUAAACAACAACAACAAAUAAAUAAAUCAUUAAAAACAGUUUCGACCUAACCUAGAAAACCUAUUUCAGAACUCAUAAUCUAGCAACAAAUAAAAUAAUUUAAUUGAAAUUGAACAACAAAAAUGAAAAACAAAUCCAACAAAAUUGAUCUCAUAUGAAAAAAAAAUCCUACAACAAUAUUCAUACAAUUAUUAAGAACAGAAAAAUUUAAAAAAAAAACAAAAAAAAAUAAUACUAUUAUUUAAGGCUCAUGUUAUUAUUUAAUGAAACAAAUAUAAUGCUAAAGAUUAAUUAAUUAGAUGAGUAAUUAGAUCACGCUACUCUAAUAUUCUUAAUGUAACUAACACUAUUAUUUAACACACUCUGACAUCCCCUCAAACUUAAGGUGGCGGAGUGGAAAUCAACUUGAGCUUGGAAGACAAGUCUCGAAAAUGUUCGUUCUUGAAACACAUCAUUUUAGGCAAUUUGAACAUCGAUUAUCACGGUGCAACGAGGUGGCACCGAAAGGUUGAACUCCCAUAUCCUGAAGAAGCCAUCCAACGAUGAUUGUGCAGAAAGAUGGAGUCCAUAGAGUAAAUUAAGUAUACCCCUUGUAAUAGUUAUAUGAUCAACACAUGAUGAGAAAAAUAUGCUAUAUAUAUCAGGAUGAGUGACAAUGAGAUAUAUAGUGUAGGGUCACAUGGUGUUGUACCAUUACAAGCGUGAACUCGCCAUUAGACUCAAUAGUUGGAGUAGUUUUACUAUCAGUCAAAUGAGCAGGAAACAAGAUAUCUAUAGAAUAUCUAGCCUAUAAAUAAGUAGUGGCUAGAGUGUCGUCUGAAGAAACUUGUAGGCGUAAAAGAAAACCUAGUUUGGCUAGAUCCUUUUUUUUCGUACUAUGAUUGAAGAACUCCUUGAGUUUUGAGAUGUUGAAAAUUAUCCCUUGUAAUAGUUAUAUGAUCAACACAUAGCAGAGGUAGCAUGUGUUUGAAGCGAAUCCAAAAUGACUCAUGGUAGAGUGGUAUUUCUCAAAUCAAACGUGGGAAUCUUGUUUGAGAUCAUAUAUAUAUAAAGCUCGAUAAAAUGAUAAACUUUUUCUAGUAGAUGAUCAUGGCGGCUAGAAGAAGGAUAUAUACAAUUGUUUUGAAAGAUUCCCUUUGAGGAUGACAUUAAUUCUUGACAUCCGUAUGAAAUAAUUGACACUAUUUGACAACAGCAACAACCAGCAAGAACUUCGUAGUGAGGUAAUAAGAUGAGUAGCAGAGCAAAAGUCUCCUCAUAGUUAAUGUCAUAUACUCAGGAUUUAAAUCUUUCACUAUAAGUCGACGUCUUUAUAAUUCUCAACAAGCCAUCCGAGCGAGUCUUGAUUUUACAGAUACAUUUGCAACCGACUAUAGCUUUUCUAAGCGAAAGAUCAACGACCAACUCUCCAACGUUUAUUUUGUUUAAGGUUAAUUUGUAAUUAUUCAUCUGACAUAACUUGGUAUCAUAAAGGAUCGGUGCUAGCUUCCUUACAGGUUUAGGGCUCAUGCAACAAGGAAACGAUAGAACAAAAGCGAAAAUCAUGAAACCAAGAAGGUAAGUGGCGACUGUUUGGCAACAUAUAUAUAUAUAUUACUGUGGUGCAACGUGUGGUUUCACUGUAUUGCCAAACUGUAUCUAGAUCGGAUAGAAUGACAUAAUGGAAGAGAUGGUUGUGAAAAGCAAUCAUAGUAUGAGUGAAGUAGCAUCUUUCAUCGGAGUAGAUUUUUCUUCAUGAAAGACCGUGACAUGCUAGUUUGGUGAGCUUAUAUACAGUAGACAACUCUAAGCGAAUAUUGAUGCCGACCAACAAACUUUACAUGGUUAUCCUUAAGAAAUAACUCAAUAAAAGGAUAUGUGAAGACGAAGUACGUACGUAGUUGAUAAUAUUUGAGAUUGUGAUAAAAAAAAAGAAAAUUAAAUGACAUAGGAUGAGAUACGCUAAAACGUUGAGACAUAGUAUCACAUAAUUAAGCUGAUGAGCUUAUAUUAAAUUAUUAUAGUAUUUCAAGAAUAUUACAACUUAUCUUACAUUAUUGUCAUAUAUUCUAAUACAUUUAAUUAUUCAAAGCAUGGGAUGAAGUACUGGGUAUACGUGGAUUCUAUUCCUUUAUAAAAUAUGAAAUACCGUAGGGAUAAGGAGGCUAAAGAAGAAACUUCAGAAAAAAAUAUGAAGAAUAAUGACAGGUACCCUAGAACAUGUUUAUUUUUGUAUUUUAAAAAAAAAUUAAGUCGUUUUAUUUUUUUUAUUUGCUUUAAAUUUAUUUUUUUUUGUUUUCAGAUUAUUUUGAUGUGCUGAUAUCAAAAAUAAAUUUUAAAAAAUUAAAAAAUCUUAUUUCAAUGCAAUCAUAAGCCAAUAACACUUUGAAAAAUAAUCACUACCACAUACCAAACAUGCUUAUAGUAUUAUAAAGAUGCCAUGCGUUUGAAAAAGACUAUCUAACUUAGUCAAAGUGUUGAUUGGAUUCUCAUUUCUAAUCCGACCUUGUGUGUAGAAGAUUUGUUGAAGGUUGGUCUAGUUACGCUAGUUCUCAAGCCAAACAUGACUUAAAACAUGCAAGGAGCCUACUUCUAAAGGUACAUAAUUCUAAAUAAUUGAAGCAACCAUUAAAAAGAAAGCUAAAAUAUAUGGGAAAAACAUUAUAUGUAUGUCAGAUUAUAUUAGUGAAUUGAUGGUUUUGCUUUAGAAAAAACUCUCAAUACAUUAUCUUUUUUGGGGUAAAAUAAUCUUUUUCUUUGGUUCAUUUGUCUUUUUUGAAUUGUUAAGGGGUGGCUUUAUCUUUUCAUUAUUCUUUUGCAUGGUAAAAUAACCUUGUUACCUUAAAAGAAAUAAUCAUUUAACAAUGGUCUAAGAUUUUUUUGGACAUUUCAUAUAUUUUUCUUUGCUACAGUAUAAUGACUUUAUUACCCUUGGAUUCAAAUUUUCAAAAGCUUAACUUGAGGGGCUAAUUCAUAAUUACAUAGUGAUUUUUUUUUUAAUAAUGUUUAGGUACUGAGGUUAGAGUAGUAUUUAAAAAUAACCGCAACAAGCCACCGCCUUCACGCAGCGUAUGCGACUAACUCCAGUGGUAAAAAAUGUUAGUCCACCUCGUCUUUCAAUUCAUCUCGGCCACCUCUUCUAUCAUCUGCGGCACAUGUAAUUUCUAGACAUGCAAUCACUGACAUCUUUUUUUCUCUUUCCUCCUAUAAAUGCAUGCCUGGCCCUCCGCAUUUUCAUAUCAUCCCUUCAAGUUUUUUUUUAUUUUUUCCUUCAUCUUUUUAUUUCUAUUUGUUUUAUCUUUAUUCAUUUCUCAGUUUUUGUUUUGUUGUCAAUUGCAUCCUUCUUUAAUUUUUUUUAUUCUAUCAAAUUUGGUCCUUUUUUAUUUCUUUUUUAUUUAAGAUAGUUUUUGAAUUUGUUUUCUUUUUCAAUUUCACCCCUUAAUUUUUUUUCCUUUCAUAUUUGAUGCUCAUUCUUUUUUCUUUUUUUCUUUUGUUAGUUUCUUAAUUUGAAAUCGUUUUUUCAAUUUUAUCAUUUAACAUUAAAUUGGUUGAAAAUUAAAAUUCUUAAUUGAACCUGGGCUUUCAAUUCCACAAGUUGCAAAUUUGAAAUAUUAACUUAGAUUUAGAAUAUUCACCCGGAUCAAUUAGUAUAGGUUGAAACAAUAAAUUUACCAGUUUUUCAUACAAUGGCUCGCAUACUCGCCCUCCUUUAAUUAUUGUGGAUUAGCCAUUUUGUAAUUGAUCAAGGUUAUUGUUGUCUUUUUUAUUAUUUUUUUGCAAAGUUAAAGUUACUAUAAUGUCCAUAAAUGCAAAAAACACUUAACUUGGGUUACGGUUUUUUUUUUAAUCACUUUUAAAGCUUGACUUCAAGGGCUUAAUCAUUAUCUUAGGGGCAAUUUGGUCUUUUACUUAAUGUUGAUAAUAAUUAUAAAAAAACUUUUUAUUUUUCCCAGUUUCAUCCAUCAAUAUUGAAUUGGUUGAUAAAUAGACUUCAUGAAUGGUUUUUUUUUUUUGCUUUGUUUAUGGUUAUCACGGUCUCAAACAAACAUCUAUUUUAGGAUUAAUACUUGAAAUUAUAAGUAUCUAAUUUUUAUCAUAUAAUUAAGUAAAAAAUGUUUUUUAAAAGAAAUAUUAAACCCAGCUAAGUUCAUGAACUGAUUUUUGUGCAACUGAGGCCAUCCAAUAUGCUUAAUCAUCAUCUUAAGAGCAACUUGAUCUUUUACUUAAUGUUGAUAAUAAUUAAAAAAAAACUAUUUAAUUUUUCCCUGAUUAUACCCUUCAAUAUUGAAUUGGUUGGGAAAUAUACUUCGUGAAUGGUUUUUUUCUGCUUUAUUUAUGGUUAUCACGGUAUUGAACAAACAUUUAUUUUAGAAUUGAUGCUUGAAAUUGCAAGUAUAUAAUUUUUAUCAUAUAAUUAAAUAAAAAAGUUUUUUAAAAAAAGUUAUUAAACCCAGUUAAAUUCAUGAACCGAGUUACGUGUGAUUGAUGUCAUCCAAUAUGUCGUAAUCUCAAUAUUUUUUAAAACAAUAUUCUUGGUUUUUUUUAUAAGUUGAUUCAUGUUUUUGUCGGUCAUUUAGGUUUUCUUUGAACCUAUUAAAUCAAUCAAUUCAUAUCGAGUUAACUCUUAUAUAUUUAAUUGGAAACGUGCGCAAGGCAAGAAGUCAUUUCAAGAGAUUUCAAGAUUUACCUGUUUUCUGAAUUUAAUAGCAUUUCCAAAAAAAUCCUCACACUCUCGGUGUUCUUUUUAACAUUUUAAAAAAUUGAUCUAUCCACGACAAAACAUGAACCAAUGGAAUAGUAAGUUUGAUAACAUAUUCCAUUAGUAUCCUUACACUUUUGUGUUUCUUGGUUAUAAAUCUACAAGUUCUUUGUCUUCUGUAGAUCCUUGGUAUUUGCAUAUCCUUGAUCUCUAUAGAUUUGUUCUUGUUAUCUUGUAUGUCUACUAUUAGGUAUUUUAAUUUAUUUUAUUACCUAUAAAAAAAAUAGUAAGUUUGAUAAUAUAUCGUGUCGAAAAACAUGUGAAAGCAAUUCUGAAAUCAUCCAUACAUUAAGGAGACAUGUUAACAUUCGUAUACAUAAAUAGUUAUGACAAUUUAGCUUGAGUUUAGACUCUUGCUCAAUCCCUUAUAUUUUUUAAAAAAGAAAUUUGGUCUUUGGCAUAACCUUAUAAAAAGUUUAGUUUAGAUCAUAUGUAAAUACCAUAUGUAUAUAUGUUAUAUGGACACGUGGUAAGCUAAAACUAAAUUUAUUAAAUCUAGCUAGACUCGUGAUUUUAUCUAAGACUUAGGUCUUGAGUUGGGCAUGUUGUUUCAAGUCAAUCUAAAAUUGUGUCGUUUUAAUUUUUUUAAUGUUAAAAUAAUAUCAUUUUAAUUUUUUCAUAUAUAUAUAUAAAAAAAGAAUAUUAAACUGGGUUUUGACUAGUGUGACUAAAUCAUUCAGGUUUAACCAAGUCAACUCCCAAUUGGGUUUUUUUAAAACUCGAUUUAGAUUAAGUACUGAGUUGAUAUACUGAUCGAGGUUAUAUUUAAUAACAUUAGUUAAAAUUGGAUGAUAAUGCAUUGAUAAGAUAAAUUUAUCAUCCAACUUUUUAAGAUCGUCAUCUCUUGAACCUUUUUGUCUUUCCUGGAAUAAAUUUAUUGAACAGUUCCCUGGUCAAAUAACCUAUGUUCACAAAAUCAACUUUUUAUUAAUCAAAUAUUUUCAUUUAUAAAUGCUAACAGAAUCAAUCUUAUUUGUCUUACCUUGAACCUAAGAUCUUGACUUGAAAAAAUAUGUCUCUUGCCCAAAGAAAUUAUGCCUGAUAACAUUUCACGUUGGACCUAAGAUCUUGAAUCUAAUACAUCUCUUGUUUAGAGAAAUUACUAUGCCAGUUACUAUUACUUAAAUCUAAUAGGAGGAAAACUUAUAUGCAAAGGCUUUAAGAGAUAGAUAGUCCUUUUGUGGAUACAUAAUUAGAAAUUGGGUAUUUUGACAUUUUCCCUUAUAAUCUGGUGAGUAAUAGGUCGGGGGCAUGCCACUAUUGUGCCUGAAAGAUAAGUGAUAACUAGCAAAAGUAUCCAAAAUAUUAUUGGAAGAUGGUAUAUAAGAAAUUACCUUAGGAAUAUCCUCAUGAAAAGGAUUUUCAUUGUCAGACGCUUCAAGAGAAGGGGUUUUACUACAUGUUUGAGGUGCGAUUUUCUUAUCUUCCUCAGCUAUUACCUUAUUGAUGUCUAGCAUUGUUGCUGCAGCAACUUCCUUUAGAUUAAUGCCUUCUGCAAUGUCUUCAAGUGUUACAGUUGGAGCUAUUUUUGGUGAUAUUCUGAUGGCACCAUCUGUCAGGCUUUUUGCACCAUUCCUAGUAGCCAUGUUUAAAGUUGUCUCUACCACGUGUGGAGUUGCUUUUGCCAUAUUUAGAGUUGUUUGUGUUUUUAUUACAACAAUAUUUUCUCUAGUGUUUUGAGCUAUCUAUGUUUCUGCCACGUCUUGAACACCACUUAUUGUCUUUGUUUUUGUAAUCUUUUGAACGUCUUGAGCACCAUCUGUCGUGUUCCACCACUUUUGCUCUCCAUCUCAUGUCUCCCCCUGAAAAGAAGAAGUUGAUAUUUUUUAAGAGUAAAAAUUCUUUGACUCUAGAAAAAUGACAUCCAUUAUAGUAUGGAGCUGUUUUUUAUAGGAUCAUAGCAACAAAAUCCUUUUUUAUUUGUACCAUACCCUAGAAACACACAGCAAACAACACAGAGUUCAGGUUUUAUUCAUUUAUUUUUAUGUAGAUGAACAAAUGCAACACAAUCGAACACACGCAGUGGAAUAAGAAGUAUGGACAAUAGAGUAACAUGUUGUGACAAAACUUGUAGUGGAGUCUUGAAUUCCAAAGCUUUAGAAGGCAUGCGAUUCAACAAAUAAACAGUAGUGGCAACACUAUCAUCCCACUUUUGACCUGGUACUUGUGCUCUAAAUAACAAUACACAUGCAGUUUCUAGAAUAUGUUGGUUUUUUUGUUUAACCACUCUAUUUUGUUAUGGAGUUUGACUACAUGACAAUUCAUGGAGAAUACCAUUUCUUUAAGAAAAAAUGAUGAGAAAUCAUUAUUCACAUACUCUCCCCAAUUAUCACAUCGAAAAAUCUAGAAAUUUGUUUUAUUGAAAAUUGGUUAUGAAUCAUAGCAUGGAAUGUAUGAAACACAUCAAAUACUUUGUCUUUGUGUUUUAGCAAAUAUAGUUGUGUCAUCCUAGUACAAUCAUCCAUAAAGGUUACAAACCAACGUCUUCAAACACAGUUAUAAUAGGAGAUGGUCCCCAAACAUCAUAAUAAACUAAGGCAAAAGAGAUAUCACUUUUAUUAAAAUUGAUUGGAAAAAAUACACAAUGACUCUUGGCUAAAAUGCAAGUUUCACAUCUAAAGCUUGAAUAAUUUGAAUUCAAAAGUAAUUUUGUAAGCAAAUGCUUCAUAAAGUUAAAAGAUGGAUGCCCAAAUCAAUAAUGUCAAAGCCAAAUUUGUUUUUCUUUUGCAAUUAUUGAACAACUAAUAGUGUUGACUUUACCUGGACUAAAGUUAUCUAUGUAGUAUAACCCCUCUCUCUUAGUACCAUGCCCAAUGAUCUUCUUCGUGAGAAUAUCCUGGAAAAAAAUUUGGAUACAUUAGUACAACACAGUUUAGUUCUUCGGUAACUUGACCUAUAAACAACAACUUAUUUGAAAGAGAAUGCACUAAUAAAGUGUUAGUCAAUUAUAUGAAAUGUGACAUAUGCAUUAUUCCAACCCCUAUAACAGGAUAUUCAAAAUGUUAGCAUUGGUUAUACUGGUCCACCUUGGUUUCGUAGUAUUGACAAAGUUUUUUGGACAUAAAAUCAUGUGAUUUGUUGUAUCAGAGUUCAUUAUCCGGUCAUUAUUAUAUUUCUUAAAAGCAAGUAAUGCACGGCUAGUAUAAUAGCAGUUAUUACCUUGAUCUUUAGAAUGAAUUAUGACAUCAUUUUUUAAAUCUACAAGCAAAGCUAAUGACAGUUGGGGCCUUGUGUCUGCCAAUGUUGAUUGCCAUGUGCUACCAGUAACUACCUAUUACUUUCGUGCCUUCAACUCAUUCCACCAUUCUAGGUAACCAUGCAAUUUGAAGCAUGUGUCUCGUAUAUGCUUUAUAUUUUCAUAAUGAGAACAAUCGUUGUCUUCACUCUCCACUUGUCCUUUAGUUUUAGCUAAAUUAUAUAUGUUACAUCCUCUUGAUAAAGAUGUCUCGUAUUUAGCCUUCUAAAGUGCUUGUUGUCAUUUCCCUCCUCUAAAAACCAUGGGUGCAGUAGUAAGAUUCCUAUUAUUUAUGAGCAUAAUUGUAUGUUUGAUGUCUUCUCUUCAAACAUGGGUAUAAGCCUAUUCAACUAUUGGAAAUGAGUUCAAUUGAAGUACAUCACUCCUUAUCUUACCGAGCAUGUCAUCUAGUCCAUCCAAAAAAGUAUAAACUUGAUCAUCUUGAAGGAAAGCAUUAUACUUUUGUAUGUCACUAGCACAUUCUAUAAGAUUUGGUUUACAAAAAUCAAUUUCCUUCCAUAAGCCUUAAAGACAAUUGUAGUGUGAUUCUAAGGAUUCUCUUGAUUGUUUUAUUCAUGUUACUUGUCUAUUCAAAUCAUACACCUAAGAUGUAUCGAAUCCAUCAAAGUAAGUAGUAGUGAUUAAAUCCCAUACUUGUUUAGUAGUUGGGAAUCAAAUAAAGUUUUUUAUGAGAGAGGGAUUCGUUAAGUCGAUUAGCCAUCCCUUCACAAUAGAGUUUUAUGUUUUUCAUCUUUUAAAGUUGGGAUCUUUUGGUUCUGGUUGCAGAAGGUCAUCAUUUAUGUAUCCCAAAUGUCUUUUUCUAAGAUAUUCAUCUCCACAAUUUGGAACCAUAAAGCAUAAUGAGUGGCAUUAAGUUUGAUACCAAUCUGUACAGGUGCACUAUCAUAGAUUAUUGUUGGGGUUUAGGCCUGGUUCUGCAUGAUCCAUUCUUAACGUGAGAUUGUCAAAAUUUAUAGCUGUAUUCGGUUGCUUUUGUUCAAUCAAGUUAGUUGAUGUUGGUGCAUCCAUUGCCUUAGUUUCUCUAAGGUUGUUAGUAGUCAUUCAAGAUGCAAAGAAUGGAUCUCUACUCCGAUACCAUGUUAAAUCAGAGAGAAAUUCUUGUACAAAAUGUGAUUAUAUCACUCCUUUUUUCUGUUACAAAAUAGUGUUUUAUAUAUACAAGCAACCCUUCCUAAGAUAACUAUGACAAUAAAAUAAAUCUAAUUAAUCCCAUAACUAUCAGGAUGUAUACAAUCACGAGAUAAUGAAAUUCAUCCCUAAUGUUUUGAUUCUGCAGCUCACGCUAAGAGGAACCAUGAUAUUUUUGUCAUAAAUUUUGAUAAUAGGGUUAAUUUGAUCAUAUUUGAUACAUCGAGGACCAAACUUAAAAUAGUUUUGUUUAGAAACCCGACAGAGAUUCACAAAACAGCCAAAGAACAAAUACGUUUGUUGUCUUUGCUAAAAUCAUCAUUGAUGUGCUGAUAUUAAAAAUAAAUUUUAAAAAAUAUUAUUUUAAUAUAUUUAUAAAUAAAAGAUAUUUUUAAGAACAAUCUUGAGUUACGAAAGGCACUAAAUGAUAAACAUGGUAGGUGAUCAAUCAUGAAACCAGUCUUCUCAAAACUCUCAAUAGAAUUACAUACUAUGCCAUUAUCACGAGCUUUGUCAAGGCCCUUCAGGACAGAGCAAGAAAUGGUUGCUAUUUUCUCAUAAUGCUGAAUGGAAAAUCGAGUCACGGAAAGAUUCUAUAAACUCCAAAACUAGUAACAUGGUAAAACAAAAUCAUGAGCGGCUAACGCGUGAAAGAGAGAGUGACAUCUCGCCAAUCACGAGGAGACACGUAUCCAUCAGAAAUCGCGUACGUGCCUCUAUCCCAAUUUUCAAGCUGCCUUUCACUAAAAGAGUCAAAGCUCCCUUGACUCUUACCCAUUAAUCUAACACUUAAACACUUCUCUGCUCGUGUUGGACAAAUUAAUUUUUUUAAAAAAAUUAUUUGAAAUGUGGGGCCUAUCAAUGACAUCAAGGGUUUUUGGUAUUAUCUCUUUGAGAAGAGAAUAUAAAUUGGUUGAUCCAUUGUGCCCACUAGAAAUCCAUUUCUUGGAAAAAUAAUGCCAUACAACCUUAUACGCGCAGUGGUAUUUUUAGAGCUUCUGUGGGUUCUAUACAGCUGCAUUAGGGCCUAUAAAUUCCCCCAUUAUUCACUCCACUUCCCACGGCCCAUCUCCCUUCUCUUCCUCUUCGUCCUUUGACUUUGUUUUCUCGAAUAUCCCCUGCCUUUACAGCUGAGAUAAUGCACAAGUAGUCUAGUAUACUGUCGAUGUAAUUUUCCCUCUCGUGUGUGUGUGAUUUUUUGGUGGGUUAUGGCCUAAUGGGUAGGCUUUGAAACCCGAGUUGCUGGCAGUAUGAUUAAUUGUCUUUUCGACUAUGCACUUGAGAGUUAAUAAGACUUGUAACUCAGCCGACCGGAGUCUUGACUCCUUGAGUGUCAAUGCUCAGGAACCAGGAACCACAAACCCAGAGACAAACUUUUAAAAUUAAAAAAUAUAUAUAUUGUUUAAUUGUUACCCCCAUUAAAUAGUACACUCUCUCUCUCUCUCCCUCCCUCCCUCUGUAAAGUUUAGGGUCCUUUUAUAUAUAUUUCAUCAAUUCACAACCCUACAAACCCACCAACAUUCUCACUCUUCUCUCUUAAAAAAAUGCAUAUUCUUCACCCCAUUACCCUUCUUCUCUCCCUUUCCUUCGUCUCAUUGCUCAAUGUAAGUAAGCCUAUCCUCUACGCCCGCGUCCUCCUGACUGCUGCUUUCAGUCUUGUUCUCUCUUGUCUGUUUUAUGUUUUUGCUGCGUGAUUCUCAUACAAAUUAUUGGUUAAAACUUGCUGUUUAUUUCUCAAAUCACAAUGCAUUGCAGGUGAAUCAUGCAGCAGUUGGCAGUGGAGAUUCGCCAAACGGUGAGAGCCCAUUUACGCCCAAGGCAUCUCUAGUUCGGUACUGGAACAAGGAGAUCCACACGGUUUUACCAAAAUCUGGUUUUUUCAUCUCCAAAGCCUCCCCGUUGAGUCCUGUCGAUUUGGCAACAUUUGCUAAACUCGCCUCCCAAAAUGCUCUCUCCGCUCAACUCCCAGCCUUUUGUUCCUCUGCCGAACUCUUCUGCUUCCCUGAUUUGUCUCCCAGUCUUGAAAAGCAUGACCAUGACUCCCAUUUCGCUAUCUAUAACAACAAGAAUUUCAGCAAUUACGGCACUGAUCGAGCCGGUGGAGCGGACUCUUUCAAGAACUAUUCCGAUGGUGACAAUAUCCCGGUCGACUCGUUCCGCCGGUACGGCCGCGACGCCGCCGGUCACGGCGAGUUGUUUUCCAGUUAUGCCCCUGACUCCAACGUUGUUGACCAGAGCUUUAACACCUAUGGCGCUGGUGCGACUGGCGGCGCUGGAGAGUUCAAGGGGUACAAUGUGGAGGUAAACAACCCAAAUCUUCGCUUUGUUUCCUAUUCUGAUAGUGCUAAUGGGAAGGGCCAGAAGUUCUCGACUUACACAGAGAAUGCGAAUGCUGGACCGGGUCAAGCUUUCACCAGUUAUGGGAAGAACGGGAAUGGAGCUCCCAAUGAGUUCUCUGGUUAUGGGACGAGCUCGAAUGUGGUUGGUUCAGAUUUCACCAACUAUGGUGAGACUGCCAAUGGGGCUAAUGAUACUUUCAAGUCUUACGGAGUUGAUGGGAAUGUUCCACAGAAUAAUUUCGUGAACUAUGGCGAUGGUGGGAAUGCUGGUGUUGAUAGCUUCGCCACUUACAGGGAAAAAUCAAAUGUUGGGGAUGAUUCCUUUCAAACUUAUGCCAAGAAUUCGAAUGCAGAGAAAGCCAAUUUCGCCAAUUAUGGAAAAUCCUUCAAUGAAGGGACUGAUAAGUUCUCUGGCUAUGGGAAUGGAGCAAUGGGGCAGCAGAUUGGGUUCAAGAUCUACGGAGUAAACACCACUUUCAAAGACUAUGCCAAUAAGAAGGGUGUCACUUUUGCUGGGUACACUAGCGCAAGCACUGCCGAUGCUUCAAUGAAGGUAAACAGUGACAGUGUGGUAAAAAACAAUAAGUGGAUAGAGCCCGGAAAAUUCUUCCGGGAGUCGAUGUUGAAAAAGGGAAGUGUGAUGCCAAUGCCGGACAUUCGAGACAAAAUGCCCAAAAGAUCCUUUCUGCCUCGCUCCAUCAUCUCCAAACUACCCUUUUCCACCUCCAAAAUUGAUCAGCUAAAGGAGAUUUUUCAUGCUAGUGAUAAUUCAAGCAUGGAGAGGAUCAUUUUGGAUGCUCUUGAAGAGUGUGAGAGAUCACCCAGCCCUGGCGAGACCAAGCGCUGUGCGGGCUCGGCCGAGGACAUGAUCGAUUUUGCAACCUCUGUGUUAGGCCGCAACGUGGCUGUCCGUACGACGGAUAACGUGAAUGGGUCGAAGAAAAACAUCAUGAUUGGAUCGAUCAAAGGGAUCAACGGUGGGAGAGUGACCAGGUCAGUCUCUUGUCACCAGACCCUCUAUCCUUACCUGCUCUAUUACUGCCACUCUGUUCCCAAAGUUCGGGUCUACGAAGCCGAUCUUUUGGAUCCAAAUAGCAAGGCCACGAUAAAUCAUGGUGUUGCCAUCUGCCACUUGGAUACAUCUUCCUGGAGCCCCACCCAUGGAGCCUUUUUGGCCCUGGGUUCGGGUCCGGGCCGGAUUGAGGUCUGUCACUGGAUUUUUGAGAAUGAUAUGACAUGGACCAUUGCCGAAGCCUAAUUUAAUUAAUUAAGCAAAUGUUUUUUUUUCUCUCUCUAAUUUGGGUUGGAACCGUUUGCUAAGAUAACUUAGCUGCUGGCUCCACCCUAAAAGUUGGUCGAAUUGGUCUAUUUAUUUCUUAUGGCUUACUUCUUUUUAUCUUUAUGAGUGAAAUUAUUACUAUGUUUUGCAGUUUUUUUGGAAGAUGUUUAUUAUAAUUAUUGUCAAUUAUACAUUAAAUCUUGCACCAAAUGUUUAAUUUCUUACUCAUAACCCUUGCAAUUUAUCCCACUCCUAAAAAUAUCCUUUAUUUUUUAAAAAAAAAAUAUGGCUAAUAAUAAAUGAAAUAUCAUAGACCAUGCUUGUUUGAUAACAAUUACGGUAUAAUCUAUAUUUUUAUUAAAAGCAUCAAAACAAUAUUUUUAAAUAAAAAACAUCGAUUACUCCACAACCAAGUUCUUAAAUGUUAUGGUCAUGUUUGUUUUUUGCGUUUUAAUAAUAUUUUUAAAAAAAAUUAAAUUUACUUCACAUUAAUAUUUUUUUAGUAUUUUUAGAUUAUUUUGAUGCGAUGAUACCAGAAAUGAUUUUUAAAAACUAAAAAAAUAUUAUUUUAAUAUAUUUUUAAGUGAAAAGCAAUCGUCACUACACUUCUAAACACGCUUAUACUCUACGCCUACUAAAUUCUUUUUCCAACCCUAACAACUCAGAACUCUAAGAGGUUUUGAUUAUUAAUUUUUGUAUAAUCUUCACGGAUGAUAAUAGAAAAACCACUUUCAAAAUUAAGUGCUUCAUUACAGAUUUAUAUGAUUUUUUUAUUUAAAAGUGGUUACCAAACUAUAUAUCCACAUAUUUAAUCCCUAGAAGUACAAGACAAAAGCUAAAGCCUAACUAUAUAGCAGUUAGCAAGCAAUAUGUGUAUCCACAUAUUUAUUGGAUAAUGCGGCAAAAUGUGGCUACAGGAAAAAAGAUGAGGUGGUCCUUGGACCAUCCAAUUUGUGGUAACAUUAUUCAGCCCGGACAAACAUCUUUCGGCACUAUUGCAUUUUUUUUUAAUUUAAAAUUAUAUUGAAAUAUUUUUUUUAUUUUUUAAAUUUUAUUUUUAUAUCAUCAUAUCAAAACAAUUUAAAAAUAUCUAAAAAUUAAUUUUAAAAAAAAUCAAAAACAAUCUUGAAAUGUAAAAAGAAACUGUAUGCUAUAAAUGCAAAGGCGCAUUAUAAAUGGUCUCCAGCGAGCAAUGGACGCGCAGAUUUUUGACAGAUUUUACUGGUAAUUGUUGGGUGCACAAACUUUCAUGACAUAACUGUGUUAUUUAAUAAAAUAAUACAAUCAAUCACUCACAGGAUAGGCAUGUGGAUUCAGAACAGCUCAGUAUUUGUGGUUGGCCAUAGCACCUAAAUCCAGCCAAGAUAAGAUAAUUUUAAGUUUAAUUAUUAUAAUAAAUGUCGGCACUGUAUUUAUCAAAGCUAUAAAACUACCCGGUCUAUUCGAGUCAAGGCUAGUGUCACUGUUCGGAAAAGUUAACCCCUCAAAUUAAUUUCUUAAAUAGAUAGGUUAAACGACGAAGUUUUGUAAAGAAUCAUUCAAAACAAGAAUCAACGGUUUAUUGAUCAGCUUUUAAUCUAGGUUACAAGUUAAUUCAUAUUUUUUAAUCAAUUUAAAUGAAUUUUUGUUUUUUUUUUAAUUCAGACCGGAAUAUUUUCCCUCCAUACAUUGUGGACUGAGACUAAUGGGCAUUGUAUUUUAAUUAUUAAGAUUCAUAUUUGUAUAAUUUAAAUUUUUAUGUUUAAUUUACAAGUAAAUUUCUUUCGCACAAGAAUAUAAUUUUUUAGCUGGAAAUAUGCCUAUUUUGCUAUAGAUAACUAGAUGUUAGUUAAUGUAAAUCUUUUUUAGUUUAACGUGGGUGUCCAGGCCAGUUUGCGCGCACCCCGACUAAUCCCACGGGCCCUGAAGUUAACGACCAUGUAAGCCUCCAGUGGCCAUCAUAUGAGCAACCACGAAGCUCGAACCUGAGACCACAGAGGGAGCAAACUUUCUGGUCCCAAGCUCUUACCAUUGGACCACCACCUAGAUGGUUUAGUUAAUGUAAAUCUUGAUGCAACCAAUGACCAAGUCUCUAUGUUAAACUUUUGGAUUGCUAUGUAAUGAAAUUGAUCUCGUGAACUCCACUUGGUAAUUAUUCUAUAUCUUGUGGUGAGGGGUAAUAAUUCAUGUUUCUUACACUUUACUUUAUUAUUCAUUUUAGUUAAUAUUAGAUAAUGUAUCUUGCUUCCUAUGAAUUGGAAAUUCUUUAAUGUGUUUAAUCUUGAAUGGAUAUUAUAAUUACCUUAAAGUUGUUCUUAUAUCAUGAAUAAAUAUUCACAUGGUUGUGUUGUGGUUUGCUUUUAACAUAUAAAUAUAAGAAAGGGAAAUAGAAUUUGCAAAAAGAAGUAGUGUGACUUGUGUUAAUGUUGUGAUGAUAAUGAUUUAGGGUAAUUGAAUUGAGUUUGAGAAAUAAUUUUCUUGAAAUGUGUAGGAUUAGUCGAUAACUCGGGAUGUUAUAAAUAUAGAAGAAACUUUGUCAAAAUUUUAAUAGAAUAAAAAAAUCAAAAUCAAUUAGUUUUUAAUUAAUACUAAAUUGUUUGAAAAAAAAAAUAAAGAUAAAAUUAAAAAAACAUAAAAUUUUAUAUAAUCCAUCCAUAAUAAUACGGAGAUGAUGAAUAAUGAAGUCUUGCACAGUAAAAGCUAUGUUUCUAGAGUAAUAGUUAAUUUUACAUGCAGGGUCUGAAUUAAAAAAUCUCAAUUUAGUACCAAAUUUAUGACCCUAUCAACAAUUAAGUACUGCUAAGUCUUCCAAAGAAUUUAACAUUAAAAAACAGACGUGUUUAUGAGAAAUUAGCAUUAUUAAAUUAAUGGCCCAACAAAUUGGACAAAAUUGAUAUGACCUUCUAACCAAAUUGAAAAAAGAAAAGAAAAAAAAUCAUUAAAUAAUUGAGCUUCAGUGCGUGACAACUAAGAUAAAAUUCCCGCCAUAGAUCGUUUGGUGGGGGAGUAGAGACGCGGUGAAGAAAUGGGAUGAUGCCUUCCCGAGAUAGUGCCAUCCUUGUUCCCGCUCUUCUUCGCCAUUAAUGCCUCUUGCUUGCUAGCUCGGAGUCCAAGCUUCCUAUUGCUCCUUCUCUUCGCAAACUUUGACCAAAAUUAUUCAGAAACAUUAUUGCUAUCAUUUAAUAUUUAGGAGCUGCAGUUUCAUAUUCAAUUACUGACUGAGAGGGCUGAGAUAAAAUAACAUAAUCCAAUUGUAUAAUCCUGGAGGCUGGAGGCUGAACAUAUAUUUUAUUAUCUCAUCAAUUGAGCACUGCUAGGUACGCUCUCGAAGCUGAUUUGCGCAUGCGUAUAUUCAACCACUGCGCUCCAUGUCCAUGUCCGGAGGUAGCAGCUCCAUCUCUGGCGCGCGCAAGAUCUUCUAAUAAGAUAAAAACUUUGACCUUCUGGUGGCAUGACUGGCUAUUUGUUGACUCGUGUUUUGUUGCGGUUGAGAUGUAUUUUUAUCAAAGAGAUUAUAUGUGUGAUUAAAUAAAUUAAGAAUUAUAUAUAAAAUUACAUGACAUGUUUAUACAUACAUAUAAUUAAAUAAAUCAAGAAUUAUAUGUAUUAAUAAAAAAAAAUCAUUAAUGACAGAUGAAGAAGAAAACGGGAAAAUUAAUAAACAUAUAUAGAUAAAGAUAUUUGAUUCUGCAACACAUGAUUUUGACCUGUGUUUAAUGAUUUUGUUUAUCAAAAUCAGAUUUCUAUUUAACCAAACGAUAAUAUUAAUAGACACAUGUGAAAUUGAUUGAAUCAAAUAAAAAUGAUAUUUUGUAAGGUUAUACAUAUUAAAAAUAUUAUAAAAAAUAAGCAUUUUCUAUUCAUAUAAAACAUAAAAAUAAAAAAAUUAUAGAUGAAUUAGAAUAAUUAAAUGCAUACAAAAUAAUUAAAAAAUAACCGAUAUUUAAAAAUAUCUAAAUAAACAAAAUAAAAGAGAUAAGAGUUAUUAAGUUAAAUCUAAAUUAAGAACUUAUUUUGAAAAAAAGACAUAAAAAAUAGAAAAAAAAAAAAGGUUGUGCACCGUUAAGCUAGGAAAGCCAGGCCAAUGCACUUGGACCCUAUAUUUUUUUGUUGGCAGAUGAGGUGGACGCCAUGUCAUUUAUCUCAAUUUUUUUAAAAAAAAUAUUCAAACGAAGUGUCGUCUGGUUGUGCUUAGAUUCCAACCAUUAUAAUAGCUGAAAAAUCAUGGCUGAAAUUUUGUUUGAUCUAAAAAUGCAUUUUAACCGAAUACACUUAAAAACACCCUAGAAACGUUGUUAAAUUAAUUUAUGGCCUCAAAAAACCCCAAACCCUCCCCAAACCCGAAAUCAACCAUAAACCAAAAAUCUUUCCCAGUUCGGAUAUGUUUUUCUAGGCACUUUCAUUGUAAAACAAUACCUAAAUGGAACUCUCCUCAUCAUAUGAAACCAUUUGACAUGAAGAUCAACUGUUUUAGUAGCCAAAAUCGAUGUCAAUGUUAUUUUUCUCUCUCUACUACUAAAACCCAAUGACUUUCUCCCUCCCUUUUCAAACUAGGAAAAAAAAGAAAAUAAAGUUCUUGACCAAAAUUGAUUUUUUUAAAACUUCAAAAAUUAGAGGAACCCAAUUCUUAUAAAUAGUAAAGAAUAAGGACUAAGGUGAACAUUUUGCAAAAAAAAAAAUUCUAAAACACCACCUAUCUUCCUCGCGUGUAUUAUUUUAGUCCUCUGUCUUUUAAUUUUGUCAUUAGUUAAAAAUUUUAGCCAAAUUAGCCUCCAAUCAAGCCCUUAUUAAUACUAAUAUCAACAUAACCCUGUUGAUAUUUUUAGCUUCCAUAAUCUGGAAGAAAUCAUAACAUCAUAUAAUGUUGAUAUCAACAUAAUUCAUGUUGAUAUCAUUAGCCUCCAAGUUCUAGUAGGCUAAUCAAGUUCUAUUUUAAAUUUCCUUUAUAUUCCUUUCUUUUUCUAAAAUAACUGGAAACAAUUAUAAUUCACAUAUACACACACACACCACGACUUUCAUAGAACAUACCCAACUUAUUUUCAUUUCUCACUUUUAAUAAUGAGAAAUAAAUCGAGAAGAAAUCCUAUAUAUUUGGCGUGCUGAUGCUAAAUCUCUCGUGCCUUGAGAUCUGACCAGAACAAUAUCUCCUAUCAUAAGCCAAAUAUUACAUUAUUACCUUCCAUGAAACUUGAACCCAUAUAACACCCUACUCAAUCAUUUAUAUAUAAUUAUCAUAUUUUGAUGCUAAACAUACAUAUAACAAUUAUUACUUUAUUUUCCAUGUUACGAACCGGUUCGACUGACUUUUACAUAAGAUCUCAAGAAUGUAUCUUAUUUUCAAAACAUCCAUCUCAUUAUAAUUAUUCAUUACAUAUAUAUUUUAUCACAAUAACACCAAAUCAAUUAAAAAUUACCUAUUUUAUUUUAAUGGCCUUUAGGCCGAGACUUAAUAUAUAUAUAAAACAUAAGUUCUUUAUUGUUUUUUUCCUUUAAAUUUUAUAGGAACUCAUAACUAUAAGAAUCAACAAGAUCUCACAUAUCCUAUAAAUAAUCAAUUUGAAAAAAAUACUCCUCCCCUUCCUUGUUACCUCUAGGCCGGCACCAACACUAAGGAAAAAGGGGUAAUUAUUUUUCUUAAUUGCUUCAAUUCUCACGUGUCCCAGCAUUUAUUUAUGCUUAUCAACAUGAUUUCAAUGUAAAUUAAAUAAUUGAAGCAAUAAUUUUUCAAAUCACUAAUUCUCUCCAUGAAACAAUCAUGCUUAACUACUAAACACACUCAAUUUAAAUCAAUCGAUUAAAAAACAAGGGUUAUUACCAUAUAAUAUGAAGGAUUCAAGAAUAAAAAUGAGAAUAAAUGCUUGAUUUCUUCUCUCCCUGCCUUUUCCCUUCACUUUCCCCUGAUUUUCCUUCUUCUCGUAAGCUUUAAACUCUCUAAAUUAGUGUAAAUAAUCUUCGUAGGUCUUCCAACACUCCCCCCUAUCAAUCCUUUAUUCAAGAACUUUUGUGUGAUUUAUGAGAAUUGUUUUUGCAUGAGAUAAUUGAGUUUUUCUCUCCCUCACUUUAUCCAAGUGACCUUUUAUACGGUGUAGGAAAUACACACAAUUAUCACAAUACCCUUUUAAAAAAAAUUUGGUUGUUUUUUGUUUUAUCGGGUACCCUUUUUUCGGUCUGUUUUUUAUUACUACCUAUAACCAAAUUAACACUUAAAUUUAAUUAUAAACAACACUUCUAUAUUAUUUUUUUCUAUCUCUAUUUUUAUUUAUUUAUUUAAUUUUAGGGUCCAUGCAAAUAGUGUUUUGCAUUGUGAUAGAUUUUACAAUUAUAAUUAUAAUUUUUUUAUAUAAAUUAUAGUAUUUUUAAGAAAAGUUUUUAGUAUAAUUCAUAUAAAAUUGUUGUAUAUAUUAAUUAAUUAAAUAUUUUUAAAUGCAUAAUUAAAAUAAAAACACAAAUAUUACCGUUACGCAUCACAGAAAUAUAUGCAGCGCAAUUGAGAAUGUUUAAAUAAAAUUCAUGUUACAAACACAAGUAAUAUUCAACGUCCCGUGGUCGAUGCAGCAAAACUGACUUCCAUCCCUACGCUCAAUGCCAAAUGUAUAGGUAAGAGAACUGAAAUCAUCCAAAAUGACUUUUGGGUUCCGGAAUAAUGAUUCAGUAUAUUUUUUUUAAAAAAAUAUAUUAAAAUAAUUUAAAUUUUUUUUUAAAAAUUAAAAUUUAUUUUUAACAUCAACCUAUUACAUAUUAAACAAUUUAAAAAUACAUAAUAAAAAUUAAUUUAAUUUUUUUAAAAAAAUAUUAGCAAAACAAUAAAUCAACCACCACACAAAAAAAUGUUUUGAAUUAACAAUAAAUUUAUUUUAAUUGAAUACUUUUACAGAACGUUGUCCAACUCAAGGGAAAACGACGUUCGAGUAGAUGAAAAAUUGCAAUAUCACAUGCGAACAGUAUUAAUCUUUUCUAUUGACCUCCUCGCUGAAUUUAGAUGUUGAUCCUUUCCGGCCUCCUGGUUUAAGCCCUUUGCUCUUGUUUUUUUUAAAAGAUUAAUGUAAUGUUUAUUUGCUGAAAAAUAGUUUUUUUAAAAAGUAAAUUUAAAAAAACAAGUUCUAAAAAGUAAAUUAUUUUUCGAUGUUUGGUAGUGUAAUGAAAAAUAAAUUGGAAAAUACUUUCCAGUAUUUGGUUAUGUCAUGAAAAAUAAACUGGAAAAUAACUUAUUAAUGUUUUAUUUUUUUUAAGUUUAUAAUAAGGAACAAAUCUUACAAAUUAAAAAGUUGAAUGAGAAUGAAAUUGAAAAAAAAUAUAAUUUCAUAAAUUAUCUCAAAUAAAAUAAAUAAUAAUCAAAAUAAUAAAGAUCAAAUCUAAAAAAUAAAAAAAUUGAAAGAUGAAGAAAUUAAAAUAAUAAUAAUUAACAUUUCAUAAAUUAUUUCAAAUAAAAUAAGUAACAAUCAAAAGAACAAGGAUCAAAUUUGAUAGAUAAAAAAUUUCAAUUAAAAAAUAAUAAGGGAAAAGCAAAUAACAAUUAUAAAAAUAAGAACCAAAAUUAAUAUAAAAAAUUAUUUUCUAAUGGAUGAAAUUGAAAAACAAAUAUUCGAAACAAAAUAUAUAUAACAAUCAAAAGUUUGAGGACCAAAUUUGAUAUAAUCGGCAAAUAAUAUGACAUUUCUAAAUUUUUCAUAACUUUCAGAAAGUGUUUUCCGUCAAAAAUAAAAGGAAAACACUUUCCUGAAAACCAAAUCAAAUUUUUUUUACUGGAAAAUGUUUUUUGUUGACUGGAAAGUGUUUUUUGUUGACCAACUUUUCUAAUAACAAAAAAAUUUAAAAAAUAAUUUUUCAAAAAUCACUUUUCAAAAAAUAAACACAAUCUAAAACUAAACCUAUUCUAAAUUCAAACAGGUCAACAUAAAUCAAAAAAAUUACUUAGUUUUAAUAAAAGAAUUUUUUUUUUUGUUUUGGUACCAUGAUAUUUUCCGGCCCUUUCCAGAUUAGAAGACUAAUCCCUAUUGUGCCAUUGUCAGACACUUUAAAGGAGAUUCCACUACCAAAUACCAAUAAAGAUUCAAAUCGUGUUCGGCUCACGAGAAGAACCAGCUCCUUACCGCUAGAGCCCGCCCUUAUUGGUUAAUAAAAAUAGUUGACAUGAUAAUCUAGACCUUUUCAAACUUGUUCCACUGUUACUGGACUUUCUAAAAAUUUCUUAACUUUUUUUUCUAGCUAAUUUUUUUCCAGAGAUAAGCGUGAUGGCUGCUCAUGCACAUAUCUUUUUCCUUUGGCGGGCUGGAUAGAGGUUUGACUUAAUGGAGCCCAUUGUCAAUGGGCCAUUGACAUCUCCAAGUAGAAACCCUAACUCGUUAUUCCCAAAAACCUUGCUGAAUCCUUAAACCUUUCCAUAAUCCCAUCGACGUGAAAAUGGAGAUGUCUUGUGUUUGUGGACGAGACGCCUGCAUUCCAACUCGUUUAAUUUAAUUUAUUUUAAUGAUUUUAAAUUUCUAUGCAGUUUUAUUUCUCAUGAAGCUGCUGGUUAAGGCACUUUUUUCCCUUUAUUAGUGAAUUUGGGCUUUCUAGAGCUUAGUUGCUUAAUAAAAACUUAAUUAACCAACGAUAAAUUGCUCUCCGUGAUGGCUAAUCGUUCUAAAUAAUGUGACUGGAGCUGUUUGAAUUUAUUUUGUUUCUUCCUUUCAUUCUCUAUGACAAUUUGAGGGUAAGCAGCCAGCACUAGUUGCUUCACUUUCCUAUAGGAGAGGAAGGUGCGAAUAUUAAAGCUUUCAGAUUUUCUGGAAAUCAAGGAUUUCUUAUUUGUUAUGGUGGGAUAUGCUCCAACAGAAAUGGGUUCAGUCUUAUGGAUUCAGACCUGGUCAGGCCAAAGCACACGACACUGCUUUGCGCUUACAAUACAACAGCCAAUUACCAAACACUACUCUUCCUUGGGUGCUUUCGUCUCACAGUUCAGCACAGACAACGCAGUAGCUAAAGCACAACAUAAGGCAACAGUACAGACCCUUAAUAAGCACAUUAAUGUUGACAAUGAUUUUGAAUGUUUAGAGCAGUUUGUUGACUCUCUAUUUGUUUCACUGCUGAGCUUCUUGUCCUGAUUUGGGAAAAUGCCUAGUCUUAUAAAUUCUAUAUUUGUUAACCUUUUGUAGGUUUGAGGUUUGAAGUUUGAACAAAGAUUUUGUGAAAAUGUUAGGCCACCAUGCCAAAUUCAAGGCAUUAUCUUUAGAAAAUAUUCUUACAGCAUCUGAUGGAACUAGGAAGGUAUCCAUAAUCUAAAGCGAUUGUAUUCAUUCUCUCUUAGUUAGAAUCUGUUUAAUUUGUCUUUCUACCUCUUUAUCCUACUUUUAUGUCGCUUAUUUUAUGGUUUGAAAACUUAAAUCAGCAUGUAUGCUUUAGGCAGUUGUCCUGCUAUGAGAAUCUUCUCUUGAUUUUGAAACUCAAGGGGAAUUACAGAUUUUAUUUAGGUUGGAUUAGGGGUAGGCAACGAUUUGUGUUCCAAGUCAAGUGGAUUGUGCCAUGAAUUGUCAGUUCUGCUACACACGCAGGCAAGUUAAUAUCUUCCUUAUUGGGACUUUGUGUUAAAAGAAUUCACGUUCGUCACUAAGAAUAUGCAUUUUCAUGUUACAUGAAUCUGAUUUUUCAGGAUGGGUGAAGAGACAUCUGUCCACAGCUGGGAUAGUAGAGCGGGCUGUAUUUGCACAACAUCUCCUCACAAAUGAAGUUUGUGAAAGCUUUUCCUCAUAGUUUUGACAAAAUUAGAUCUCAAUUGAGUGUUACUAUGCUGAAUCUAGUGUUAUGGAUCCAACAUAUUGCUGUUUUUUUAGAAUAUUUAUUUUCUAAUAAAGAAAUUAUUUCAUGAAUGCCUCCCAUCACCGCCUCAUUUUUUCAAGUAAAAUUGGUAGCAUAACUGAGCAACUGUGCAGACCUGUCUUCCACCUAUUUUAUUUUCAUUUUAAAUGGAUACAUUUGAUUUAAGAAAAAGAAGAUCGUAGUCCUGUACAAGCAUGUUAAUCAUGGAUUCUUUGGGUUCUUUAAAUUGGUAUUUUCUCAUUCUAGGGUUUCCAGAAUUUCUCCCAAGCUCAUUGGUAAGCUCCACUCAGAGCAAGCACCUGAAGCACAAUAUCUCAAAUCUAAGUAUGUCAUGACUGAGAAUAGCCAUUAUUUUUAUCUGUCAGUUAUAACAAUUACCAAAACAUCAUAUGUCACUUAUUUGAGUUUUCCAAGCAAUUGUAAAUCUCAAAUGAUAUAUGACUCUGUUCUAUCAAAAUACUUCAUGGAAACCAGUCCACUGCUCUUGGUAUGUCUUCUGGUUCUUAAAAUGCUGAUUGUCGACGCAACAAAUGUUGUCUACUUUUGUAUUAUAAGGCAACUGCUGACCAGAAGUUGAAAGUAAUCUAUUCCUCCAAGAAUAGACUCUUGAAUCUUCAAACUUGUCAAGAAUUUUUUGCUAAUUAUUGGCAUAAAAACUUGUACUUCCAGGGAAUGGGAGAGCCACUUGAAAAUAUUGACAGUGUUAUUAAAGCUGCAAACAUUAUGGUGCACGACCAGGGCCUUCACUUUACUCCACGCAAGGUCACUGUUUCUACUAGUGGGCUUGUCCCACAGUUGAAACAUUUCCUCCAUGAAUCCAACUGUGCUUUAGCUGUUAGUUUGAAUGCUACCACUGAUGAGGUACAUUUCAUUCCGUUAUGUCUUAAUUUACUGGAGAAACACGCUGAUGUGAGUGACCUUCUCUUUCAUAAUAAACUAUGCAGAUCAGAAACUGGAUAGGGCAUAACAUCUUCAAACUGUGUGCGCAUAAGCUAACACAAAGGUUUGUUAGCUAAGAUGUUCUGACUUCAUGUUAGCUCAGAUAACCUGAUACAGCUUCUAUAAACAUACAUCCUUUACAAUAGUAAUGUUGAAAUAUGACCGAGGGUUAAGAAAAUCAUUUAUUGAAUCAGACAAAUGAUUACUGUAAAUCAUUUAUGUUGCAUGUUCCAUUAUUUACAGUAGAGUCCAAAAUCAAUUGUUAUGACCAAAGGCAGCACAAAACACCGUCUGUGUUCAAUGAAGCUCAUUGAACCAAAACAUGUGAGUUUCAGGAAGUUGGGCAGUAGCUGAAUAAUCAGAUUCUAAGAAACUGGAGUACAGCUGAAUUUGAAACAUGAAGUAAAGAAUUUUUAAUUUAGAGUAAUGCCUUUUCCAAUUAAGUGGUAUUUUGUAGGGCAUUUGACAUCUCUGAAAAGUAGAUGUCUGUUGUACCUUUCAUCGGUUAACAAUAUGUAUGCAAUCCAGUUAAGAGUACAAUUAGAUGGAAACAUACCUUCCUGGUUUGCUGUGUGAGAAAAUCCUCCCUAGAGAUUGGAAAAGAACUCAGCACUGAAGGCUAGUUUUGUUGGUUUGGAUGUCAUGAAGAAAUCACUGGCUUUUGGAAAAUUGCUCAGCUAAACAUUGUGGGCAAAGUCGCCAACAUGUCAAACCUCUCCAGCUCAGUUUAGUGUAACAAAAAUGCUCACUACUGACCUCAUUGGCUUGAAAAUUGGUCUUUCUAUUUUUCUUGAAAAAGUUAAGCUUUGUUGUUGCCUUGGUAGUACUUCCCUGUUUGCUUAGCCUUCAUGCUAUUUUAAUUCAAAAACAGCUUAUUGGGUUAAUAAUCCAACUUAUUUAUGUGUUUGAAAUUGUUGUAUUGUAGUGACUACAACGGCAAUUGUUUGUUUUCAGUGUUGAUGAUGCAAAGAGACUUGUUGAUAUUGUUCAAGGCAUUCCAUGCAAGAUCAAUCUCGUCCAAUUUAAUCCUCACUGUGGAUCCCAGUUUAGACCAACCAGUGCAGAAAACAUGAUUAAGUUUCGAAACAUUUUGGCAGGAGCCAAGUGUUGUUUUCUUGCGAUACAGUAGAGGUGAUGAUCAGACGGCUGCUUGUGGUCAGCUUGGCAAACCUGGAGCAAUCCAGACUCCCUCACUUCGUGUCCCAGAGCAAUUUCAAAUGGCUGUAAAUGCUUAGGUGCGCUUUGUCUUGCAUUGAAGAUGAAGUAGAAUUCUCAUGCUUCGGGGGUCUUCUUGACAUGGAAGGAAAGGUGAAGUAGAUUAAAAGCAAGGGAAAUUGGGAUACCAGAUUGUUUUAUUACAUCUUAUAUUGAUUAGGUCUUCAACAUGAAUGCAUGUUUAUUGGAUCAGAACCUUGGUCUUCUAACUAGCUCUCACACCGAUACUCAUUUGCUGCCUCUUUUCAAGAGCACCGGACCAUCACCGUUCCCGCCGAAUGGCACAUUUGCACCCGCUGACUUUCACCUGAACUGCAUAAAUGACAAAAUCAAAGCUUCUAUACGAACAGGGAUGUUAUGUUAUGAUUGAUUGUGUGAUGGAAAAGAAAGCGUCAACUCCAGAGCAGCAUUCUUCAUGACUGCUGAUGCCUGCCAUUAUCAGAACAUGUCGUGUCUUGAAUCUUGAUGUGCGAUUUGUUAAUUCACGAAUAAAAUUCGAGUUAAUUAACAUUUGUUUUUUGGUAUAUGUGUGAAUAAGGUGAUUAUUUACAAGAGCAAACAAUGGCUAUCGUUCACUUAUUGAAGUGGAUGUGAACUAGAUUGUUUACCUGCAAUAAUAAUUGUACUGAAUACUGAUAUCGAACCGACGCAGGGGGGGACAGUACAUUAGGUUUGGGGCCAGAUUAGAAAACAAAAAUUAGAGGGGGCAAAAGUUAAAAUUUAUUAAUUUUAGAGCUAAAAUUUAUAAUUAUCCAGGAGGAGGCGGGGAAAAAAACAUUUCGCAGCAGCCACCCUGGCAACCUGUAUUGCCAUCAACAUCGCUCGCGCCGAGUGGAAAAUGAAAUUUAGGUAGCGUAUGGUUGUUGUUUUAGGACAAAAAAGAUUAAGACAAGUGAGAUAGAAAGGAUAUAUUUCUUACUUUUUUUUUUUGAAAUGAAAGAAAUUUAAUUUAAAAAAUAUUUUAAUGAAAAUUAUUUUAUGUUUGCAUCUUAAUUUCUCUAACCAAAACAUAUUUUUAUUUUUUAUAUAUUUGUUCUUUCUAUUCUAUGUUAUUUACUUCGUUAUUUGUAUUAACUGAUUGGCUCAACAUAGAACUGAGAACAAAACAAGAGGAACCAAGUGUCAGAUCCGACGUAUUAGGAUACGUAUUAACAAGUGUUUAAAAAAAGAUUAGGUGAAAAAGAGAUUAGGUACGCAAAUUUGGCCACCAAAUUGCUUUAUAGAAGAAAGAAGAGAUAUAUCAAAAGUAUAAUGCUUGAUUGAUAUAUGCUGCACCACAAAAAUGUUGCGUGAGGAAUUGAAUGCUGGAUGCAAGAGAGAUUAUAAACGACAAAGUAUAAAGGUGCGAACUUUGCUUUCCGUACUGUCUCCCACUAAGGUUUGUUUAGCAUUAUAUUUUGAAAGUUUUUUUAAAACAUUUAAAAAAAAAUUAAUUUUUUUUUAAUGUUUUCAUGAAAUUUUGAUGUGUUAUGUCAAAAAUAAUUUUUUUAAAAUAAAAAAAUAUUUUUUUAAUAUAUUUUAGAAUAAAAAACACUUUAAAAAACAACCGCUAUCACAUUCCCGAACACACAAGAAAUCAUUACUUGCUAUACCUUGUCUUUUAAUUCAAAAUGGUCAAAAGUAGGGAUGCUGAUGGGUAUUUUAUUUAUUAUUUAUUUAAAAAAAUUUAAAUACUUAUAAAUUAUUUAUCGAGUUUCAAGUAUCUAAUAAAUAUUUAUUAUCUAUUAUUAUUAUUUAUUAAUUAAUAAAAGAUAAAAUAGUGUGUGUGUAUUUGAAGUAUGUGUGUGUAUAUUAAAUGAUAAAUAUUAUUUAUAUAUAUGUAUUUUAUGUCAAUAUUAAAGUAUGUAUAUAUCAUAUUGUAUUAAAAAAAAUUAAAUAUUCUACAAAUAUAUUUAUAUAACAUAAAUAUAUAUUUUCGGAUUAGGUUAGGCAGAUUUCAAAUCAAGUUUGAUAAUAUUUACAUUUUAUUUAUUAUUUAUAAGUCUAAAAAAUAUUUAUUUAUUCAGAUCAGGUGAAUAUACAUUAAAUUCAGAUUAAAUUUUCAUAACUGGAGUUAUAAAAUAAGGAUGAAAAUAUUGCCAAAUCGAUGGCAUGCGUUAGUGUUAGCCAUUAAUGCAUGGGAUGGGGAGGGGGAGGUAUUUUCCAAUGAAGCGCAAUUACAUUUAAUACCAUACCAAAAGAGAAGGAUAAUUAAAUUCUCUGUAUUGAUUUCAAUCUCAUUUGGUGAUGAGAUAUAAUCUGAUUAUCAAUUUUUUACUUAAAACUACGACUAACUUAAACCUUUAAACUAUUUUUCCUACAUAAUAUUUAAUUAUCUAUAUACUAACUUAAAAUUUCAAGAGGCGAUUCUCCGUGGACCAUUUUAAGAUGGUAAUGUCAUUUUGGAUUACAAAAAUUUUAACAUAAAAAAAAUAUUCAAGUUGUAAAAAAGCAUUUGACAUUGUUAUUAGAUUCAAUUUAACUGGUAAGUUUGAAAUUUUUUAACCCGAUUUCUUAUCUAGUAUGAGUUUAAAAUUAACUCAUGUGAAAGUUAUCCGAAUGUGAUCCAAUCAACUUGGUGAGUCCAAAUACAAUUUAAAUAACCAGUAAGAACAUGGUUUGGUUUUAAAAAAAAAAUGACAUGAUAUUUUUUUUUAAUAUCGAAACAAUGAUAUAUCAGAUCGAAUCAAACUUCGUAAUUUAACCUCCUAAACCCGUGACUCGGAUUAUGAAUUCCAUUGAGUUUAACAACUUUUUUAAACUAUUUUACUUCGCAGUUUAACCAACUUAACCCGUGACCCGAUUUAAUUGAUUUUUUUUUGUUUUUAUUAGCUUUGCCUUUAAAUAUUGAGUUGUUUCAUAAUUCGAGUAGGCUCAUAUAAAAAAAUUUAAUAUUUUUUUUUUGAUUUCAUCAUCCAACAUCUAGUUUAUUAUGAUUCAGGUUUUGUCAUUUAUUUCAGUUUAUUUAAAUAUUGUUUUGUUCUCAGUUCUAUGUUGAGCCAAUCAGUUAAUACAAAUAACGAAGUAAAUAACAUAGAAUAGAAAGAACAAAUAUAUAUAUAUAUUAAACAAACAGUGUAUUAGGUGGAAGAAACAGAAGGCACAACCCCAUACCCAAAAAAACAAAUAAAAGAAUCAACAAAAACUAAAACUUGUGGGUAAGAUAUUCUAGCAAUCUUUACUGUUUAUCCUUUCACAAUUCACCAUAGCAUAAUUUUUUAAAAAAAUUCAUUAUGAUCAUUAAACCUUUUUUUUUUUUGGCAUGAUUGUGCUAUUUUGAGCUCAGAUUUGAACUCAAUUGCAUGGUUUUUCUAAAAUGAAUGAUUGAAUUGAAAGAAAGAUAAUUGAAGUGAAAAACACGGGAGAAAUAUAGAUGGUAGUUUUGAGAUUUUUUUAAAAAGUUUAUUUUUAUCCCUCAAUUUUUUUAGCUAUUAGGUGAUUGGUUCUUAUAAUUUUUUAAAAAUAAAUUUUGAUAAUAAAUUUUAUUUCCCUUAUUUUUAGUUAUUUUUUGGUGGAGGAGAGAGAGAGGGUUGCCAGGUUCCAGCUUAGAGAGAGAAAAUUAUCGUUGAAAAUAAUUUUGACCACCAAAGUAGUCUAUUUUUAUGUCAAAUAGUGUCAUUUAAUGAGGUGGGUUAAGAUUAUGUGUGUUUUUUUACCUUGAAAACAAUUAAAAAUAUAUAUAUAAACUCAAAAAGAUUUUGGUUUUAUGUUGAUUUCGGGCUUUUGGGGUGAUGUUUUGCACUUUUAGAGGCUAUAAAUUGGUUUAACAAUGCUCGUAGGAUGUUUAUUAAGUUUCUUGGGUAAAAUAUUGGUUCAAAAUGGGUUUUUUGGUUUUAUAUUUUUCCGGCCACACUAGUGGCUGAAUUUUAGAAAUUCCAAAUAACAUGUCGUCUAUUUUUUUUUAAAUUAGAGCGGACAAUAUGUCAUCUGUCCAAUUAAACUAAAAAAGAAUAAAGGCUCCCGUGCAACCCUUUUCUUGGUAGGCUAGGCGCCUAGCCUUGCUUACAUGGCCCAUCAACACCUGAUAUCUAUACGAAUUGUUUUUGUCUUUUUAGUCUUUUUUAUAUAGUGAUUAUUUUUUAAUUAUAUAAGAUGUGUUUAAUUUUUUACGAAGUUAGUAUGAUUCAUCUAUAAUUCUUUUAUAUAGAUUAAACAUUUAUUUGUUUAUAGUGUUUAUAGUAUGUACAUAAUAUUUGUUUUUCUUUUAUUUUAUUUAAUAAGUUUUAUGUGUGUGUCGAUUUCUAUUAUAAAUUAAUUUUAAUAAAUAAACUCAUUGAACACAACCAAGUAAAUGACCUAUAUUAUGAUAUUACAUAUCUUGAUCUACAUUUGUUUCUUAAUUUUUCUAAUUAUAUUUUUAUUUAUUGUUAAUGAUUUUUUUCAUUUAUUUACAAUAGUUUGUAAUUUAUUUAAUUAGAUGGGUGCAUAAGUUUUUCUAUUUACAUUUAUUAUACUCAUGUAAAAAAUAAUGUUGAAAAAUUCUACAUGUUCAAUUUUUUAUUAUGUAUUGUUGUUUUUAAUUUGAUCUUUAUUCUUAUUAUUUUUUAUUUUUAAAUUUAUCUUUCAAUCCAAGUUGAUAGUGUAUUGUUUUUUCCCCCAUUAUUUCCCAUUUUUAUUUUUUUCAUUAAUGCCUUUUUUGUAGGUAUUUUUAAAAUAAUUUUUAAAUUUAUGCUUUAAUUAAUGCAUAUUCUCUGUUAUAUUUGUUUUUUGUUUUUUUAGCUCUUUUUAAAUAUCAAUUAUUUUUUUAAUUAUAUUGGUUGUGUUUAGUUUUUUAAGUGGUUAGCAUGUUUCAUUUGUAUUUUUUUAUAUUUUAUAUAAAUUAAAUAUUUAUUUUUUUAUUAUACAGUCUUGCAUAAUAUUUUUUUAUUUUAUCUUAUUCAAUAAAUUCUAUAUAUGUAUUGAUUUCUAUUAUAAAUUAAUUUUAAUAAAUUAAUUUAUUAAAUAUAACCAGGUAGAUGACCUAUUUUUUUUGUACAUAUAUUUUCUUAUUUGAUAUGGUUGCCUCUUUUUUUUUUCAAUAUAAUUCAUAUAAAAUCUACUUAUUUAGUUGAUGAGAUUAUAACACAAGUUAUUAGAUUUUUUUUUAUUAAAAAAAUAUUUUUGUGACGCCUAAGUAUUUAAAAUAAUAUGACCCGCAUAAUAGCGUGUACAUUGUUUCCUUUUUCCAAACUCUGAAGUCUACUGUACACUAAAGAAAGAAUAUAUUCAGUGUCUACUGUGCACUAAAGAGAGAUAUUCAGUUAAUUUAUUUUUUUUUGUUGAAAAUGGAUAUUCGUAAGUGGAUCGUAGAACCACGCUCCCGCACAACGAAUAUAUUCAGUUUUUUGGCGGCAUCACUUCAUGCCCACCACUUCUUUCCCAAAUUCUCUCGACUUUACUCCUCAUCACUUUCUCAGCUCUCAAACACUGGUAACUGCUCUCUGUGCUCUCUUUGUUUUGAAAGAAAAAGAAAAGGAAAAAAACCAAAACCAUAGCCAGCUAGCUAGGGAAGAGAAGAGAUCCUGAUACUGACACCGAUACUGACCUACUGUAGCAGUAACUUUCUCUGCAUUGCAUAGAAAUAGAAUGGGAGGUUGUAGCAAAGAUGAUGUUAGUUACCUGGAUCGCCGAUUCUCAAAGAAGGUUCGCGAUAAUGUCUAUGGCAACAUUUAUCUGGAUCCGGUAUUAUCAUUAGACAUCUUUCCUUCUCUUCUCCGAAUUUCUUUGAUUCGACUUUCCUAGAUUGAUUGAUUGUUCAAUUCAAUUUUGAUUUCUUUUCGUCACCGAAUCGCGCUACUUUUCUUUUCUUUUGGAAACGGCGUUUCGUUCGUUUCGUUCCUUUUAGUGAGGAAUUAUAAUUACAAUUUGAAUUAUUGAUGUUUGCUUGCUUGCAUGUUUCUCUGAAUUGAAUUGAAUUUAAUUUUAUUUCAGCUCUCUUUGAAGUUCGUCGAUACCGAGCAGUUCCAGAGGCAAGCGCAAGUCUGAUUUAUUUAUUUAUUCAUGUCAAAAUAUAAUUAAAUUGAAUCGAAUCAAAACCAUUCACCAUCCGAGCUCACAAGUUUUACUAUAUGUGUGUAUGCAGACUUCGAGAUCUAAAGCAACUCGGUGAGUGUUAUUUAUAUUCCUCUGUGCCUACUUGACCUGAUUUUAUUAGCAUAUCUUUUCCUGUGACUCUGAUGUUUCUACUUUUUACACCGCGGCUAAGAAUUUAAGCCUGUAUAUGAAAAUUUUUAUUUUCUCAUGCAAUUAAUUAAUUCAAUAGUUUUGAAGGGGGAAAAAAAAAACUAGCUGCCUGCCUGCAAAGUAGCUUUUAAGUUUCAUGCUGAAUAUCCUUGUUGGAAUCAGAUAUGUUUUAUUUAUCUAGAAAUACUAGUUUGUGUGAGACUAUUUGACUACUCUUCUAUCACAUAUAGUCUUCAACGAUGUUAAAUUCAAUUUAUCAGGAAAAAACGAUAGAAUUUUUGUUCUGAACAAUUUCAAGUUCAUCCCUGAGUGAAGAACAUGGAGUAACUUGAUUGUUUGCUUUGGUCACUAUUAUUCUUUUUAAUGGAAUCUUGGUUGUUUUUAGCACUCUGAUUUCCAUAACGGUCAAAUGUGAUGUCAGAAUCCAUAGUUCAAAGAAAUUGGCUGAUCAAUUACAUCAUUGGAAGAAUUAGUCACUAAACUGGACCUAGUAAGCUAUAACUUGUUCACCAGCAAGAGUGUUGCAACAAGCCAUUUCAGUGUUCUGUAUAGAAACAACCAUCUCUAACUUCCAUUUCUGAGAGAUUUCAUUCUUUUUACUAAACAAGUUUUACUCUUAUGCAGGUCUAACAUACAUGGUUUACCCAGGGGCUGUGCAUUCUCGAUUUGAGCACUCACUUGGUGUAUUUUCACUGGCUGGUGAAGCAGUUCACAGAAUCAAAGCUCAGCAAGUAAGAAUGUCACUCUGAACAUCAUUCUCAUCAAGAUCUCCAAUUAUGGGCAAUUGUCCUUCACACACAUCCCAUAUUUGUAGGGUUCAGAGCUUGGUAUCGAUAACUUGGAUAUACAAACAGUGAAACUUGCUGGUAAUGAAUUGUGCAUCAUUAAAAUGGCUUUACUUAUGGUUGCUUUUCGUGUUUGUGUAUUUAAUCUCUUCCUGAUUUAUAUAGGACUACUGCAUGAUGUUGGCCAUGGGCCAUUCAGCCACAUGUUUGAGCGUGAGUUUCUCCGUCAGAUUCCUCAUGGCAUUAAAUGGUAAUUCUGGCAAUGCUUUCGGAUUUCCCUCAGAAAUUAGGACCAUUCUUCACUUCUUUGACCUUUCUGUUUUCAUUGGUAAAGUCAUUCCAUUAAAAUGUGAUUAGAAGGAUGCUAGAAUAACAAUUUCCAUAUGCUGAUUAUACUCAUGAAUUUCUUGUGCUUAAAUUUUUACAUUUGCUUGUUUUUGCGGAGCUUGAUAUCUUCUUGAUACCAUAUCACAACUUAUUUGUAUUCAUUGAUCAUAGAUGCAGAUGGUUGAUGUGUUCGUUGACCAAUAUCAUGAUGUUAAAACCAUAAUUUUUUUUUCUAACUGUUUUAAGUGUUGUAUUCUAAUAAUUUUGUUUGUUACCUAUUCUGGUUGUGAAUGCUGAGAAUAAUGGACUGAAAAAGAUUAACCAUGUGAUUCCAGAGGCUAAGAAUAUAGCUGAUUUCAGUAUUUCUAUGCAGAUUCCAUUCAGUUUUUUCCUGUAGGAAUGAUGUAAAUGUUUCCUUUGUUCCUUCCUUUCUAUAUGCUGUACUAACACAACACAACCUAGUUAAUUAGUAAAUGUUGAUUUCAGAAAAUGCAUCUUUCUACCAUCUGAAGAAUUUAUUUUGCACAGUGAAAUCAUGUUUUAUUUAACAAUAUGGGUGGAUGAUAUGCCAUUGUUCUCCCAGUUAGGCAUUUGCAAUACCUUCAUUUGAUUAUUGCCGAACAUUAUGAGUUACAUUGAUGAAAACAGUAUUUUUCGGUUUGUGAUAAAUCUUAUGGAAAAUGCUAUACCUUUCCUAUAGUCAUUACUGGUAAUUGCUUCUAAUGAGAGGAUUUGAUCCAAUAUUUGAGUUAUUGUUUUAAAUAUUUUCCAGGUGUCAUGAGGACAUGUCUGUGAGAAUGAUAGACCACAUUGUCGAUUUCCACCAUAUUGAUAUUGAUGCUGAAUGCCUAAAGAAAGCAAAGGUUAUAUCUUGACAGAAUUACUUUUCCUUUCUUCUGCUGGAUUUUCUUUUUUCCUUUCUUGGUUCAAGUUUUUCAUUGAACACGUGAUUGUGUCAAUUUUAAUCUCACCAUCAACAACAUCUCUUUUUGUUGUUUCACUGAGGUUCUUUUAUCUACUUAAAGAAAAACAGAUACAUGUACACUGAUUUAAAAAAAAAAACCAAUUGCUAAUACAUGGAUCCCUUAUGCAUCUGUGUCCUCUUUUACAGGAAAUGGUCAUUGCAAGCACAGAACAUGUUUCUCAUAAAGUAAGCCAUCUGACAGUCCAAGACUCUAUCUGUGGUUAGCAACCCUCAUUUCAAUUCCUUACGUAUCUAAUUUAAUCAUUGGCUAAUUUUCUACGUUCUCUUACAUGUAGAGUGUGAAUGAAAAGCAUUUCCUAUAUGAUAUUGUUGCAAAUGGUCGGAAUGGUAUAGAUGUUGACAAGUUAGUUGAUCUCUCUCUAUAUACUUAUCCUUACGAGUCUCCAAUCUCCUUAUUUGGGGUUACUUUCACUGCACAUGGUUUUGACAACAAAAAAUUAUCUGCUAGGUUUGAUUACAUUGUGCGUGACUCCCGGGCUUGUGGACUGGGCUGCAGUUUUCAGAUUGAACGGUAUGCAUGCUUUUAUUUUUAGGCAUGAUCAAACAAGUUGUUUAGGUAGCCUUCUUUUCAAGUCAACUCACAUGACAUUUCCAUCCAUGCUUUAGCCUUUACUUGGUUAGUUAGUUAUUAUACUUGUGUAUUCUUACCGUGUAAACUAGUGCUAUUCCUUAGUCAAUAAGCAUUCUUUUUAACUUACAGGUUAAUGGAUAGCAUGCGAGUUAUGGGUGAUGAGAUAUGUUAUCGUGACAAGGAUUGUUAGUAUAUGUUGUAAUUCUGUUUCCAGUUUUGCUGGUAAUCAUUGUAUUCUUUAAUUAAUUCUUGAUGUUCUUGUCAGAUCUUACAAUCUAUAAGUUAUUUUCCUCUCGUGCUGAUCUGCAUCGAACGGUCUAUACACAUGCAAAAGUAAAGGUGCCUAUAUAUUUGGAAUUAUUUUCUGGAAACAAAUGCUUUGUUUAGUUGAAUCUUUAUCCAAAUGGGGAAAUGCAAUGUAUUUGACUUUUCUUUUUCAGGCUAUAGAAAUGAUGUUUGUUGAAUCCUUGAUAAAAGCGGAUGAUUACCUUCAAAUUUCAUCAAAAAUUCAGGACCCAGCUGAAUUCUGGAAGGUUUGUGGGCUUAAAACAUUAAUUGAACUUGCUGUUGAUGCUUUGAUUUUAAUGUUCACGGGACUAAUGCUAUCCAUCUAAAUUUUGCAGAUAGAUGAUUCAAUAUUGAAAACCAUUGAAAUUUCUCAUGAUCAGGAGCUGAAGGAAGCUAGAGAUUUAAUCCUGCGCAUUAGGAGAAGAGACCUAUACCAGGUAUCCUAAUUUAUUAUCGGGACAGGUUUGAUGGCCUAAUUUUUUGUGAUCUAGGAGCAUGAUCUAUUCUUGUUUUGAGUUAUUUUGACUCAAAGGAAACCUAUGUUCCUAUUUGUUAACACACUAUUACAAUUUGUUAUAUUUUUCAGUUCUGCAAUGAGUUUUCUGUUCCGAAGGACAAGCUAGAGCACUUCAAAGACAUCACUCCACAGGACAUUGUUUGUUCCCAGGUUUUUAAUAGAUUACACACAAAAAAAAAUAUAUGUUCUAUGUUAGUCUUUUCUUUCUACAGCGCACUAAAUUUUUUUAAUUGAAAGUGAUUUUUCAUUCAGGGAAAUGGUGACAUUACACUAAAAGAAGAAGAUGUUGUUGUCUGCAAUGUGAAGAUCGAUUUGACACGGGGUAGAAGUAACCCUCUCGAAAAGUAAGCAGGAAAAGAGUCAAAUUAUGAUUAUGUUGGAAUCGUUCCUUGUUUUGUUGUUCUUUAAUGGGUCGGCUUCUGCAACUUUAAAUGACUCUGGUCUUUUGUUUAUGCAUGUGUUUCAACAUUCAGCAUAAAUUUUUUCCAGGUACAAAGUUCACUUCCAAUGUGCUUAAUUUAAAGUAUUUUUCCUAGCAUUUUUCUUUCUUACAAGACUAAAGAUUAGUAUGAAUCUCAAUAUUAUACAUGGUCUGCAUUGUCAAAUAUGUAGCAGAGGACAGUAGAACUCUAGUAAAUAUAUGCUGUAGUUUACUUUCUUUUGUUUUCAUAAAUUACAGGCUUGAAUCUAAUCAAGGAUUCGUAUCUCAAAAUCUUUUGACGUUGCUUAUUGUAACAUCCUUGUUGAAUUAUACUAUUGAAUUUAUGUUAUGUUACAACAGACACACAAGGGGCUGAUGAAAAAAUUGUUGUAAAAAAUAUGGAAUUUGGCUAUGUUUUUUUUCCUCGACUAAAUUUGUUAUGUAGAGGAUCAUUGGGUUCCAAUACCUAUUCAACCUUAAGGCUGGAGUCUCCUUCUUAAGCUAUAGCUUAGGGUUUCUAACUGUUUAAUGUUACAGUUUCUUAAAAGAAUAUGUUUCUGUUUUAAGGUUUUUUAACAGCUUUCCUUGCUAUCAGGACUUUGAGAGCAAUGAGAAAUUCCCGAUACAUGAUUAUCGCAUCAGUCAUUUGCUGCCAGCUUUUUGUGAAGAUAGGAUUGUGAGGGUGUAUUCUAAGAACCCCGAUCUGGUUUGUAACAAACAUAAGAAUGUUUUUAAAUAAUUAAUUAACUUUGAAUUGCUUUGUUUUGAUAAAUCAAUGCAUGGGCAUCAUUAUACAGGUGAAAACAGUUUCUGAGGCUUUUGAAAAUUUUCAGCUAAAGACAUAUGGAAUGAAAGCACAGGUACAUGCAACUCCUGAUAGGAAGAGGAAUCGUCGGAGGUUAGAACAGUCGUACUGAGAAGAAUCACCGAAGGCUCUUGUGGUUGCUACUAUUGUAUCGUAUUCCACAGUGCUUUUAUUUUGGAACUCGUACACUUCUUUCUAAAUGGAGAAAGAAAACUAGCUCGCAUACACACACAUAAUUGAAGAAUUUGAUUAGCAAGUGUAUAAAUUCACACUGCCUCCCUAUAUCUCCAUUUACUUUGAUACCCAGCACAAUAUGUGAAUAUUCUUUCUCAUACUCUGACUAGUAGGUGGAUGAUGAUGAUUUCUACCCCAAUGAAAUUUGUUCGUAGAUUUCAAUUAUUUGGAAUGGGUUUUAUUUUUCUGCCAUUAUUCUAUUAGGAGGGUUUUUUUUUUUUUUUUUCUUGUAAUUUUUUUGAGCUGGUGAUAGUGCAGUCAGAAAACAAGCAACAAAGACAUUGCAAAGGUAAUUGAGAACUUGGAGUUAGCUUGUAGGUAACAGGGAGAAAACUCUGGGUUCAGUUUUUUAAUUUGAAUUUGUAGCUUGGAAGUUCUGAAAGUUCACACUGAUUGAUGCAGGUCUCCCCUUCCAAGCAAUAGAUCUGUGUUUCAUUUAAUAGAUUGCAGUUUGCCUUGCCCUUGCAGACAUUAUCAAAGAUGACCAUGCAUGCAUCUGUCCGGCUAGCUUUGUGAUACUAAACGUGUACAAUCACUCCUGCUUAGCUAAGGUUUGUUGUCAGUGCUUGAGUCCCCACGUGCUGUCAUCACUGUUGCAAGAGAACAUGGAUAAACUAUGGGUAAGUCGGGCAUGGCAAUCUCUGUAUACAUCGCAUCAUCACAAAAAUUACAGUACUGAUAUCUUAGAGCUUGAAUGUAUAUACACACAUAUUACACACACACACACACAUAUAUAUUUGAUGUCCUGAAUUCGAAAUUACUUAUUUCAUUUUAGUCAAAUCUGUGAGAUUUUUGAAGUCACCAUGUAAAAGACAUGCCCUACAGUGAUAUGUGUUGGAGCCUUUUAUUCAGGCGUCCAGGCAAAACCCGUCAUUUUGUUGAAGCUUUAACUACUCCUGGAUCAGUUACCUCCAGCAUUUGAUGUGUGAAUAAGUAUGUACUUUGAUUUGGCAUCGCGGUACAUAAAUUCAUGUAGAACCCGUUUGCUUACGUGGUAGCGUCCACGUUUCCUGCAGUUUUAUUUUACAAGCUAUUUGAUUAAUUAAACAAACUCUUGUUAUUAUUCAUCCUACGGUCUGCUACAUUUAAAAAGCAAGAAAAAGAAAAGUAGCCAGGAGUUGCUGCCCGCGGUAAAAUACUGAACCGUACUCCACUAUUAACGUGAAUAGUUUUUUUUCUUCAAAAAACCAGUGUAGUUAAUUGAUUUCACUCGCACUAUUCACAUGAACGUGAACAAAAUUUUUUUUUUGUUUUUUUAAAAAAUUAAUUUAAGAUGAAUUAAAUUUACUCGUACUGUAAUCUCAAUUUUAUUUCUGAUAAUAUUUUAUCUAAUUUUGUAGUUCUUGUUGGAUGAAUUUUGUAUAUAAUAAAAUUGUAGAUAGUUUAAUGGAAUAAUAAAUUUUUUUAUAUAUGAAGUAUAAUUUAUUUCAUGAUGUAAUAACAAUAAUUAAAUCCACAAUAUUUAAAUUAAAAACCAUCAAUAUUAAUAUAUAUAUAUUUUUAAAUUAUUUUAUAACCUUAAUUUCAAAAGCAUUUUUAACCAAAUAUAUUAAACUAUUUUUUCUUUAACCUUAAUUUCAACUAUCGUUUUAAUCAAACAUCUAUUUUUUCAAACCAAUUUCAACUAAAAAUAUUUUUUAUAAAAUAACUUUUUUCAAACCAGAACCACAAUAACUACCUCAAUACCAAACACACUAAAUUGUAUUCUUUUCUACUUGCAUACGAGGCAGUGUAUUGACAACCAGUGAAUUGUGGAACUAAUUUACAAGCCCGUAAGGUAAAGAAAACAAAAGGAGUCACAACUCACAAGGUAAACCAGGCGGAUAUUGUCUUAAAUACCACCAAAGAACAUAAACCGAUCCCUUUCUGUACAUUUGGUGAAGCAAUUAAAAGGGCUUCAAACUCGCAUGAACUGAUCAGUGGUAAUCCAAGACAUGUUCGCUCUGAACGAAACUGUCAACAUUUUGAUGAAUAGUUGCAAGGAUUUUAGCAAUGCCGGUUGAUAGAAGAGCAUAAGGUACACGAUGAUAUUGGUCAACAGUGUCCAAAUUCAGCCCCAAACCCUGGACACUAUUAAAGAAAGCUGAUGAUUGUAAGAUCCUUCUUGAAAUUCCAAAUCGCUAGCAGAGGUUAGAACUUGAUGACCACAAACAAGUAUAGCAAUUUUUUUAUGCCUAAAACAUGGAGACUUUUCGAGUACAAGAGAAUAACCGUGUUCUAGUAACUUGGAAGUCAGGAAAACCUGUUUCCGAGAGAGAAACUUCUAAUGCCACUGUCGAAAUACCAUAUCACCGUGUGGUUACUAACUUGUGUUGCACAUCUGAUGAGAUUAAUGAUGGUGCCAGGGGGUGAUUUUGAGUUGCAGUACUUAAACAGGAAUUCUUAGUUUAAUAUACUGAGGAAACAUUAAGAACCAGCCCUUGAGUUUUAGUUGGAAAAUUAACGAAGUGAAACUAAAAUGUAUGAAGAGAACAAGCAGCACCUUGAAUUGGGUGAGAUAGGUAGAGAGAGGAGGACAUGGAAAGAGAGAGAGAGAGAGAGAGCGAGGUUCUUGAUCAAGACUAGAGAAUUGGAGAAGACUUGUUGAGGAAGCUUGCCAUUGCUGUCUGUCUCUAGCUCGUGUGCGUUCGUCGAUGGUUGGUCCUAGCACGUCUUUAAUAUUGGCUGGUUUUG
rnacentral:lncRNA from 1 species